rnacentral:rRNA from 1 species
UUUAAUAGGGCGACUAGUCGCUAGGAGUAGACCCGAAACCGGCGCGAUCUAUCCAUGGCCAGGUUGAAGAUUAGGUAGUACUAAUUGGAGGACCGAACCCAAUACUGUUGCAAAAGUAUGGGAUGAGCUGUGGAUCGGAGUGAAAGGCUAAUCAAGCACGGAGAUAGCUGGUUCUCCCCGAAAACUAUUUAGGUAGUGCCUCGUGUAUAACUCAUUGGGGUAAAGCACUGUUUCGACAAUGGGGGUUUUACGACCUUACUGACUCGAUGCAAACUCAGAAUACGAUGAAGUUCGAUCACGGGAGACACACUGCGGGUGCUAAGGUCCGCAGUGGAAAGGGAAACAGCCCAGACCGCCAACUAAGGUCCCAAAGUCAUAGCUAAGUGGGAAACGAAGUGGGAAGGCCCAGACAGCCAGGAGGUUGGCUUAGAAGCAGCCACCCUUUAAAGAAAGCGUAAUAGCUCACUGGUCGAGUCGGCCUGCACGUAAGAUUUAACGGGGCUAAGCUAUGCACUGAAGUUGCGGAAUAUAUUUAGUAUAUUGGUAGGGGAGCGUUCUGUAAGCCGAUGAAGGUGAAUUGAGAAGUUUGCUGGAGGUAUCAGAAGUGCGAAUGCUGACAUGAGUAACGUAAAAUAAGUGAGAUUCUUAUUGGCCGAAAACCCAAGGGUUCCUACGCAAUGUUAAUCAACGUAGGGUAAGCCGGCCCCUAAGGCGUAGCUGAAGAGUGAAGUCGAUGGGAAACAGGUUAAUAUUCCUGUGCUGCUUAUAUGAACGAAGGAGGGACGGAGAAGGUUAGGUAGGCCUGGCGAAUGGUUGUCCAGGUGAAAGUAUGUAGGUAGGAAUGCUAGGCAAAUCCGGUGUUCUGUUGAUCUGAGAUACGAGACGAAGUUAAACUUGUUUGACGAAGCUAUUGAUACCAUGCUUCCAGGAAAAGCUUCUAAGUAUAUUGUAUAAGUGACCGUACUGUAAACCGACACUGGUGGGUAGGUAGAGAAUACUAAGGCUAUGAGAUAACUCUGGUGAAGGAACUAGGCAAAAUGACACCGUAACUUUGGAAGAAGGUGUGCCCUUGAUGGUGAUGAGACUUGCUCUUUGAGCUGUUGGGGGUUGCAGAUACCAGGUGGCUGCGACUGUUUAUCAAAAACACAGCACUCUGCGAAAUCGUAAGAUGAAGUAUAGGGUGUGACGCCUGCCCGGUGCUGGAAGGUUAAUUGAAGGGGUUAGCGCAAGCGAAGCUCUGGAUCGAAGCCCCAGUAAACGGCGGCCGUAACUAUAACGGUCCUAAGGUAGCGAAAUUCCUUGUCGGGUAAGUUCCGACCUGCACGAAUGGCGUAACGAUGGCCACACUGUCUCCACCAGAGACUCAGUGAAAUUGAAAUCGCUGUGAAGAUGCAGUGUACCCGCGGUUAGACGGAAAGACCCCGUGAACCUUUACUAUAGCUUUGCACUGGACUUUGAAUAUUUAUGUGUAGGAUAGGUGGGAGACCAUGAAGCAGCUACGCCAGUAGUUGUGGAGUCGUCCUUGAAAUACCACCCUUGAAUAUUUGAAGUUCUAACUCAGGAGAGAUUCGAGGACAGUGUAUGGUGGGUAGUUUGACUGGGGCGGUCUCCUCCUAAAGAGUAACGGAGGAGUACGAAGGUGCACUCGGUACGGUCGGAAAUCGUGCCAAGAGUAUAAAGGCAAAAGUGCGCUUGACUGCGAGAGUGACGGCUCGAGCAGGUACGAAAGUAGGUCUUAGUGAUCCGGUGGUCCCGAAUGGAAGGGUCAUCGCUCAACGGAUAAAAGGUACUCCGGGGAUAACAGGCUAAUUCCUCCCAAGAGUUCAUAUCGACGGAGGAGUUUGGCACCUCGAUGUCGGCUCAUCACAUCCUGGGGCUGAAGUAGGUCCCAAGGGUAUGGCUGUUCGCCAUUUAAAGUGGUACGCGAGCUGGGUUCAGAACGUCGUGAGACAGUUCGGUCCCUAUCUGCCGUGGGCGUUAGAGAUUUGAGAAGAGUUGCUCCUAGUACGAGAGGACCGGAGUGAACGAACCACUGGCGUUCCGGUUGUUUCGCCAGAAGCAUUGCCGGGUAGCUACGUUUGGACGGGAUAAACGCUGAAAGCAUCUAAGCGUGAAGCCUCCUUCAAGAUUAGAUCUCUCUGAUGAAAAUCAGUAAGGAACGUUGGAGACUACGACGUUGAUAGGCUGGGUGUGGAAGUACAGCAAUGUAUGAAGCUUACCAGUACUAAUGAUCCGAGAGACUUAAGUCUAU